rnacentral:ncRNA from 2 species
UUCGCCGAGGAGCGUUGCGACCCGGAUCUUCAGGAUCUUGGCCAGGCUCGGUGAUGGGGUCGACAUUUCAAACGGCGCUCACUCACG